AUAUUUUAAAGUGCACCCACUUUCAUAAUAUCUUCAAUAUUAUACUUUAAUUAUAAGCUAUCAAAAUA
rnacentral:tRNA from 2 species